rfam:Lupinus angustifolius cultivar Tanjil chromosome LG09, whole genome shotgun sequence.
GUUUCCCCUAGAGUUUCCCGGAACACUUCAUUAAGGGUCCAUUAUUAUAUCAAAAGUUGGUCCAUGCUGAAGUGUUUGGGGGAACUCCUGGUGGCAC